rnacentral:sRNA from 1 species
AUCAAGAAAUGGCCUGGAGCUAACGACUCCAA